rnacentral:rRNA from 1 species
AAAUUGAAGAGUUUGAUCAUGGCUCAGAUUGAACGCUGGCGGCAGGCCUAACACAUGCAAGUCGAGCGGAAACGAGUUAACUGAACCUUCGGGGGACGUUAACGGCGUCGAGCGGCGGACGGGUGAGUAAUGCCUAGGAAAUUGCCCUGAUGUGGGGGAUAACCAUUGGAAACGAUGGCUAAUACCGCAUGAUGCCUACGGGCCAAAGAGGGGGACCUUCGGGCCUCUC